rnacentral:rRNA from 1 species
AUUGAACGCUAGCGGGAUGCUUUACACAUGCAAGUCGAACGGCAGCGCAGACUUCGGUCUGGCGGCGAGUGGCGAACGGGUGAGUAAUGUAUCGGAACGUGCCCAGUAGCGGGGGAUAACUACGCGAAAGCGUAGCUAAUACCGCAUACGCCCUACGGGGGAAAGCAGGGGAUCGUAAGACCUUGCACUAUUGGAGCGGCCGAUAUCGGAUUAGCUAGUUGGUGAGGUAACGGCUCACCAAGGCGACGAUCCGUAGCUGGUUUGAGAGGACGACCAGCCACACUGGGACUGAGACACGGCCCAGACUCCUACGGGAGGCAGCAGUGGGGAAUUUUGGACAAUGGGGGCAACCCUGAUCCAGCCAUCCCGCGUGUGCGAUGAAGGCCUUCGGGUUGUAAAGCACUUUUGGCAGGAAAGAAACGUCGCGGGCUAAUACCCCGUGGAACUGACGGUACCUGCAGAAUAAGCACCGGCUAACUACGUG